rnacentral:rRNA from 1 species
AACGUACGCUGGCGGCAGGCUUAACACGUGCAAGUCGAGCGAGACCUUCGGGUCUAGCGGCGGACGGGUGAGUAACGCGUGGGAACGUGCCCUCCUCUACGGAAUAGCCCCGGGAAACUGGGAGUAAUACCGUAUACGCCCUUUGGGGGAAAGAUUUAUCGGAGAAGGAUCGGCCCGCGUUGGAUUAGGUAGUUGGUGGGGUAAUGGCCCACCAAGCCGACGAUCCAUAGCUGGUUUGAGAGGAUGAUCAGCCACACUGGGACUGAGACACGGCCCAGACUCCUACGGGAGGCAGCAGUGGGGAAUCUUAGACAAUGGGGGCAACCCUGAUCUAGCCAUGCCGCGUGAGUGAUGAAGGCCUUAGGGUUGUAAAGCUCUUUCAGCUGGGAAGAUAAUGACGGUACCAGCAGAAGAAGCCCCGGCUAACUCCGUG